UGGGGAAUUUUCCGCAAUGGGCGAAAGCCUGACGGAGCGACGCCGCGUGGGGGAUGAAGGCCUGUGGGUUGUAAACCCCUUUUCUCAGGGACGAAUUCUGACGGUACCUGAGGAAUAAGCCUCGGCUAACUCUGUGCCAGCAGCCGCGGUAAGACAGAGGAGGCAAGCGUUAUCCGGAAUUACUGGGCGUAAAGCGUCCGUAGGCGGCUUGACAAGUCUGGGGUUAAAGCCCGGAGCCCAACUCCGGAACCGCCCUGGAAACUGUCAGGCUAGAGUGAGGUAGGGGUCACGGGAAUUCCCGGUGUAGCGGUGAAAUGCGUAGAUAUCGGGAAGAACACCAGUGGCGAAGGCGCGUGACUGGGCCAUCACUGACGCUGAGGGACGAAAGCUAGGGGAGCGAAUGGGAUUAGAUACCCCAGUAGUC
rnacentral:rRNA from 1 species